CGUCAGUGUGAGGCGACGGGUUCCUUCACAGCAUCCCCCUUUCCUUUUCUCUCUCUCUCUCUCUCCCCCCUCUCCCUCUCUCUCUCUCUCUCUCUCUCUCUCUGUCUCUCUCCUACAGCCGUCCAGCAUCCACGCUCUGCUCAGUUAGUUAGGAAUACACGCUCAGCCACUGGAGCGCAAGAAAAGGUAUGUUAGGUUACACAUCAUGUAGAGCAAGCAGGGGCUUCCACCACUUCAGCAUAGGUGGCUUUUUUUCCUUUUUUAUAUCAGCAUGAAACAUUUAAAAGCUAAGACAUCAGCAAAACAUGUUUUAUAAAAGUUUGAUAGAGGGGAUAAGCUUUUAAUAAGGGCUGAUAGGGGGUAAGGAUAGGGAGCAGGAGAGACAAGACUGAAAUCUCUUUCUCUUUUUGUAAGCUUUGCGGAAUAAAGACAAAAGGAGGAUGGAAACGUACACAUGAAACAGCUUUGUUACCCUCCCACCCCCAUCUGCCCAUCAACUGACUCCAUUCUUCAACUUGACAUCAUCCUUUCACACAGACAAGGAGAAGAAGAAGAAAAAGAAGAGGAGGAGAAGAGAGAAGCAGAGGUGGGGAGGCAAACAAAACAGACAGAGGAAGAGGAGGAAGAGCCGAGAGGAGGUGGGCAGCACAGUUUCAGCUCUCACAAGGAUGAGGAGGAGAAAGUGAAGGCAGCUAGAACUUGGCCACUAGUGAGAUGAAAUUUGGGGAGGAGACGCUGGAGCGCCGCAGGGUACGACAUCCAACGAGAACCCUAAAAUUGCACCGCCUAGAAGACGAGACAGCAAUCUCUGGAUCCUGUGUCCCUCCACAGCUGAAGGAUGAGAGGGGUCGACUUUCACCUUAGUUGCCAGGGAUGUCUGUGCACUACGGAAAGGCACCCCCCUCCAGCAUGUCCAAUGCUAUGUUAUUCCUGAUGCUUUGCAAGAUUGGUGUGAGACGAAAACUGCAGACUUUUCCAGGGAAAAUGGUAAACACUCUCCACAGUGAUGAGGAAAAGGGAAUCCAAGACAAGGAAAGUACGGAGGAGAGCAUCUUGGCCAUGUUGGGCAUCAUUGGGACCAUUCUCAACUUGGUAGUCAUUAUCUUUGUCUACAUCUACACCACCUUGUAGGUCUUGAACUCUCUUACUGUACUUCAUUAGUGGGCAGAUCAGAGCUGAUCUGUGCCAUUGCAGCUGCAGUAUGUUGACUGAUUUGGAAAUGAAGAUAGGAGGUGCAAGAAAGAGGCCCAGCUUCACCAUUCGUGAGCUGGAUCGAAGACUACGUGAUCGCCAUAUGGCAUCCAUCCUGCUUCACUUCAAACAACUAAGACUAUGUGAGACUGGCUUGUUUCUCUCCCCUUUAGAGGUAGAAUUAUCCAGAAUACCUGGACACUUUUGACUUGUACAUAAAUGCAUGGAGCUAACAAGAGAUGCUCAAAAAGAUGCAGCUUUUACCGACUGAGGGACAUGAAAGACUGCAGAGAGCGUGGACAGUUUUGGAAAAUAUUUUUCAGAUGUUCUUAUUAACUGAAAUAUGGAAAUUAUUUGCUGACAUAGGAUAAAAGAUGAGGAUGUACAGAGAAGGUAAACACAGGUAUCUGCAUUGCUGUCUUAUUUUUUUCCUCAAAGAACACAACGUACACCCAUUUAUAUGAGAUUUAAACAGACAUAUUACAAAUUUGAUGUUUGUUUUUAUACUGUAUUUCUCACUGUUUUCUGGAAAAAUUGACUUUGGGUGGUGUUUUAUUUCACUGGAAACUAUAUGAACUGUAUUCACACAAGUUGUAUAACAUACAUCUACUGAAACAAAUGGUGUAUUUAAAUGGCAUUAAGUCAGUUUAAAGUGUUGAAAUGCUACCCGUAAAUGGUGGAAGAUCAGACAAAAAUGGGUUUGAUUAUCAUUUAUUAUUCAAGUUUUUAAUGCAUCACUUCAAGGGUCAACAAGACGCAUCCAUUUGUGAGAAAACGUUUUCAGCUCUGGAGGCCGACGAGCAUCUUUUGAGGAGAACUGAGGAAAAAAGGUGUUUUACUUACUGGCUUCAGACAGAUGCAGCUAUUUAGGUUGAUAAUGAAUAUACCAACAUUCAUUUGCAAACAGAUAUGAUAGACACUGCAACCUGUUCACUCGUAAGUGUACAUAGAAUUUACUGAGUUUAGGGUAGUCUGUAUUUUUCAGCCAUUGAUCUCAGUUUCUACAUUAUUGAUUCAAAGCUUAAGACUUGUGCGUAAUGACUGUAUGCCUUAAAACAUGAGGAAAUGGCUAUUUCCAUGAUGUAUAAAAUUAUCAGGUUAUUACUACUUUGUGAAAGUUUCACUUGUUGUAUAUACAUAUAAUUCAAUGCCAAUGUCAUAUUGUUUCAUUGAUGAAAGGUCAUUUAUUGGGAAUUUUAUAAAAGUACCCAGCUUUUGUCUUAAAGAUGCAAAAACUUUGAGUUCUUAAAUUGUGACUCUGUGAAACGUGGAGUUAUUUCCAGACUUGGGCCAUUUUUCUUCAUUUUUAUCCUUUUCUGUAGUGUAAGAUGGGUGUGGGUUUUGCCACACUGGAUUAUAUUGUAAAUGUUGUGAAAUUUACACAGUCACAAGAAUUUUUAGAGUAACUUUUGGUAUUUUUCUCUUUGAUUGACUGAACUGACACUGUGUCAUUUGUCCUCGAUGUCUUACAACCUCAUCUCUCUAAAGAGAAGCUAAAUUUUGCUUGACCCAUGACUGGAAAUAAGGCCACAUCUUUGUACUUGAGGGUAAAACAUAAGUAGAAAGUAUGUUUAAAAACAUCAUUUCUGUAUUUAUAGGUUGAUCAGAAUCUGGGCCAGUGUGUUUCAACUUGUACAAAUUGAAUCAAGUUGAGUCAUGUGACAAAUUUGUGUACAGAGGUCUGCACAAUUUCCCUGUAACAAUAUUCUCAGAUACCUCUGGAUUACACACUGAUUUAAUUAAACUGUAUUAAAGGAAUAAUUUAACAUUUUUUGAAAUAUGCAGGGAGUCUCAAAUUAAUGACAAAUAUCUAGGAAGUCAUACGCUAAGAUGAAGAAAAAAAAAAGUACGGCAACCCUUUGUAAAAAUGGUGGAUUUAAAUUUUUUUUCCCCGUACAAAUCAAAUUACUUCUAACUAAUUAGCAAGUAUGUUCAAUAGGUUUAGGUGAAUUUUGUACCCCUGCUAAGCUUAUCAUCUCCUGGCUUUAGCUUCAUAUUUAACAGACAAGAAGAGUAAUAUCGAUCUUCUCAUAUAAGCAAAUAAGCCUUAUUUCCUAAAAUGUCAAACUAUUCCUCUCUUUUUUUUAAAAAAAGAAGCUAGAAGCUAAACUAUAUGAAGCUAUAUGAAAUGAGAACAUUUAAAUAAUGAUGUACAGUAUGUAGAAUGUAAGGGUAUAGACAACAGACUACAUUAUGUGUAAAGUAUUACGUUUGUGUUCGUCAGCCAACAACCUCAUGAUUUCAGAAAGUGCCUGAGAUCAAAGCGUCUCAACCUCACCAGUCGAGAGGUGAAAGAAAGGAAAACACAAACCAGUGAGAGCAUCUUUAUAAGGCCAACCUGUCACACAGCCAGGAGAGUGGAAGAAGUGUCCUGAUCCACUCCGCUAGAUUCAUAAUGGGUCUGGAUUUCUACUACACGGCUUAUAAAGUCAGCCAAUAUUUUAUUGUUUUGUUUUUUUUUUGUCUUGGGUGAGGUGCUCUUGCUUGUUUAACAGAAUAAGGAAAAUGAGAGCCUAGUAAGCACACGGACAAGUGUUACGAAUGUAUUCAUAUUUGAUGUAAAAGUUGAUUCCUCAUGUUAUCCUUAUUGUUUACUUAUCUUUCCUAAAGCUAUGUGAACUGAACGUGUUCUUAUGUUUUAUUUAUGUGUAUGCUAAAUCUAUUUAAACUCAUUGAAAAGUCUCUUGUGGGUGACAAAUGGAAGGGAUAAAAGUUUUUCAGCUUGCAGUUUGGUUAAAAAAAAACAUUCAAUAAAUACAUCUCGGAACUGA